AAUAUAGACCCAACUGCUAUGGUUUAUGUGACGUGAAAUGAGAGAGUAGCCCACAUGAAGCUGCAAUGCAUUUGUUGUUGGGUGCGUAGAGCCCAACUGUUUCAGGGAGAAAAGACAUCCGCCUCAGGCAGGUAGGCCAUGGAACAUGAGCAACCCGGAUUGGUGUUUGAGUAGUGUGUGUAGCACUGAAACAGGACUAAAACCAAUAGAGCUGGAAUGAAAAGCCUGUUGGAUUGUAAAGUGUUUUCGUGUUUCCAGCUUAGUUCCCCUAUUUCCCAGUUGUUUUUCCUUCAAGCUUCCGUUCCUGCUGUGAUUAAAGGAAACUAUUAUCUAAGUGUUAACAGUUCGGGUUGUUAGUGGUUUUUUGUUUAUUUUUCGGUUCAGAUCAUGUUUCGGAGGAUGCGUGAAGAAUUGAUGAAUUCAGAGGCCAACGCCGAGAUCUACAUGAAGUUCAUGAAAAGUCACUGCUGCUACGAUGCCAUUCCAACUAGCUGUAAACUUGUCAUAUUUGACACAACUUUACAAGUGAAGAAAGCCUUUUUUGCUUUGGUUGCAAACGGCUUGAGGGCUGCACCUCUUUGGGACAGCAAAAAACAGAGAUUUGUGGGUAUGCUGACUAUUACAGAUUUCAUCAACAUUCUUCAUCGUUACUACAGAUCCCCAUUGGUUCAAAUGAAUGAGCUGGAAAGACAUCAAAUUGGGACAUGGCGAGAUGUGUACCUGCAAUACUCCGACCACUGUCUUCACAGUAUCAGUCCAGAUGCCAGCCUCUUUGACGCCAUAUACUUGCUACUGAGGUAUAAGAUCCACAGAUUGCCGGUCAUCGAUCCCGUGUCCGGAAAUGUCUUGCACAUUAUCACGCACAAGCGAAUCCUCAAGUUUCUUCAUAUAUUUCAAGAGACAGUCCCAAAACCCCAAUUUCUGCAAAAGACAAUCCAGGAUCUUGGCGUUGGGACAUUCCGGAAUAUUGCCACAGUCCAGCAGACAGCCUCGCUCUACGAUGCCUUGUCUUUGUUUGUAGAAAGGAGGGUCUCCGCACUGCCCGUAGUGAACACAAAAGGCAAGGUGGUAGCUCUCUACUCCAGAUUUGACGUGAUUAAUCUGGCAGCUCGGAAGACAUACAACAACCUGAACAUCUCCAUGCAGGAGGCCAUCCAGCAGCGCUGCUGUUUCAUUGAGGGUGUGAUCAAGUGCUUGCCAGACGAGACCCUGGGGACAGCUAUUGAUCGAAUUGUCAAGGCUGAGCUCGACUCUCCUUCAUUCCUGGUCCAUCGGCUAGUCCUGGUGGACAGAGAGGACAUAUGCCUGGGGAUCGUCUCUCUCUCCGACUUGCUCCAGGCCAUGGUGUUGACCCCGGCAGGUAUUGACGCCCUUUUAGCCUUUUAGCGCCUGUGGGAGUCAAGCUCGUUUGCCCUACUGUCCUCUUCCACCAGCUCUAGCCCCACCUCCCUGGUCCAGAUAUUUCAAGCAAGUCUAUGUAAGAUUUCUAGAAGAGAAGGUCAAGUGGAUAAAAACGGGAGACCAUUUUUUAAAUGUUAAUGUACUGUUGUAGAGAACCAUUAUCUGCAAUAUUAAGCUGUAUCAGUUUCAUGAAACACAAUUGUCUUCAGCUACGUUUGAUCAAAUUGAUCAUCAAGGUUUUUGUAACUUUGUGUUCUACUGAAUUCCUUUCUGUAUUAAACAUGCUCUGUUCCAUUAUA